GGGGAACCUGCGGAAGGAUCAUUA
rnacentral:ncRNA from 3 species